rnacentral:rRNA from 1 species
GAUGAACGCUAGCGGCAGGCUUAAUACAUGCAAGUCGAACGGUAACAGGCCCGGCAACGGGUGCUGACGAGUGGCGCACGGGUGCGUAACACGUAUGCAACCUACCCUUAACCGGGACAUAACACUGAGAAAUUAGUGCUAAUAUUCCAUGGUAUUACGAAGAGGCAUCUUUUUGUAAUUAAAGAUUUAUUGGUUAGGGAUGGGCAUGCGUCCCAUUAGUUAGUUGGAGUGGUAACGGCACACCAAGACGAUGAUGGGUAGGGGUCCUGAGAGGGUUAUCCCCCACACUGGUACUGAGACACGGACCAGACUCCUACGGGAGGCAGCAGUAAGGAACAUUGGGCAAUGGGCGGGAGCCUGACCCAGCCAUGCCGCGUGCAGGAAGACGGCCCUAUGGGUUGUAAACUGCUUUUGUUUGGGACUAACAGCCGGGUCGUGACCCGGCCUGCAGGUACCGAAUGAAUAAGCAUCGGCUAACUCCGUGCCAGCAGCCGCGGUAAUAC